CAUCUAUUAUCUUGGUCUCAAAUUAGUUGUCUUAAAUUUGUCCAGAUACGGAUGUAUCUAACAUUAAAACGUGUCUAAAUACGGAUGUCUCUAACGCUAAAACGUGUCUAGAUACAUUGAUAUCUAGAAAAAUCCGAGUCAACUAAUUUGAAACGGAGGUAGUAUUAA
rnacentral:pre_miRNA from 1 species